UACGUAGGGACCGAGCGUUGUCCGGAAUCAUUGGGCGUAAAGAGCGUGUAGGCGGCUUGCUAAGUCUUGCGUGAAAUCUCGGGGCUCAACCCCGAGCGGUCGUGGGAAACUGGCAGGCUAGGGUGCGGGAGAGGAGAAUGGAAUUCCUGGUGUAGCGGUGAAAUGCGCAGAUAUCAGGAAGAACACCCGUGGCGAAGGCGGUUCUCUGGAACGCAACUGACGCUGAGACGCGAAAGCGUGGGGAGCAAACAGG
rnacentral:rRNA from 1 species